rnacentral:lncRNA from 1 species
UCUCUCUGCAGGUUACACCACCCCCAACCUGGACCCCAUCCAAUAGGCUCGUGGUCCCUGAUGGUCCUGGACCACUGAUUUGAGGCCUUUCUGCUUCCUUUGAUUCAGUCUUUGGCAGAGACCCAGGAGCAGGAGUCCUUGAUGGCACCUGGCCCUUUCUAGUCACCGACAAGGGAAACCUGAGAAACCAUUCUCAGAAAUGGAACUAAAUUGACACAGCAUUUGUCUCCUCCAGAGGAUACAGCACCAAGGCGCCAUCUUGGAAGUAGACUGGAGCUCUUAGCAGACCAGAACCUGUGGAUGCCAGACUCAUCAACAAAGGCCCACUUGUUCCUUGGGAUUUGUGUCUUGAUGCAUUCUCAAAGAGAGGUUUCCAGGGCACCAGUCACCUGCAGCUCACCUGAAGAUGGCACAUGGCAUGUCGCUGUGCCCCCCUCCCCAUCCAUGUGCUCUACCUGGCAACUUGUUUCUCCCCACCUGAAAGUUGACCUGAGAUGAAACUUGCUAAGGCCUCCUAAGACGAUGUUGCUGGAUGUCCCCUGCUGACCCCACAGACUGGCUCCUCUGGUGUCCGCUGACUUGGCCUGGUGAGAAGGGCAGGGCCAGGCCCUUCCCUGUCUCGACCUGCAUUCCCACCCAACACAGCAAGCUAUUUUGAAAAAACUUCUCUAUCAGUUCUUGUGAGUUAUUUGUCUAAUAAACAA